UCAGAUGGGCGUUUUGAACAGUUACGAUGUUUGGAGCCGUCCUCCGUGGAUGAACGCCGUGUGCGGUUGCUCCGGCAGAUGUCAAAAUUGAAAGCGAUUCUUCCAAGAAUUUCAUGAGUGGGAAUCCGUCAAGUUUCAAUGAUGUUAAAAGUCAACGAAUUAUUUAAGAAAAGGUUGAUUCCUGGUUGUGGUUGUUAAUCAAGGAGUAUUUAUAUAACUGCCGGAAGUCUAUUUCUAUAUUUUUCCGACGGGCCAUUGAGCAUUUGUUCCAAGCGAGAUGUCUGAUAGGUUUGGAGAAGUGGCGAGCGGGCCAACCCAAGACCCAUCUACCAACAGUAGCGACGCUGGCGAUUUCGAGUGCAACAUAUGCUUUGACUUGGCCCAAGACCCGAUCGUCACUUUAUGCGGGCAUCUUUUUUGCUGGCCCUGCCUUUACAAAUGGCUUCACCUACAUUCACAUUCUCAAGAAUGCCCUGUUUGUAAAGCCCAAAUUGAAGAAGGAAAGUUAGUCCCUUUAUACGGUAGAGGAAAGGAGUCAACCAAUCGAAGAUC